UAUACAUAGAAAAAACUGAGUCGUUAGGAACGUAUAUUAGUGCAACACCCAGUACCUGGCUCACAGAUUCACGAAUUGGAGCAACCACCUGAUCAGCUAAAUAAUCACCAAACCUGUCUAAAGCAAAUACGCAAGCUAUACGGCAAAGUAAGUCAUCAAAGUACUUUUUAUUCAGUUGUUCAUUUUCUGCUUCAGAUUUUCCAACGACACGACCAUAUC